UACAGAGACUGCAAGCGUUAUUCGGAUUCACUGGGCGUAAAGGGUGCGCAGGCGGCCAAGUGUGUGAGGCGUGAAAGCCCGGGGCUUAACCCCGGAACUGCACCUCAAACUACUUGGCUAGAGCAUUGGAGAGGGUAGCAGAAUUCAUGGUGUAGCAGUGAAAUGCGUAGAUAUCGGGAGGAACACCUGUGGCGAAGGCGACCCCCUGGUUGGAUACUGACGCUGAGACGCGAAAGCGUGGGGAGCAAACAGG
rnacentral:rRNA from 1 species